UACAGAGGUCCCAAGCGUUGUUCGGAUUUACUGGGCGUAAAGGGCGCGUAGGCGGCCAGCACAAGUCAGUUGUGAAAUCUCCGAGCUUAACUCGGAAAGGUCAACUGAUACUGUGCGGCUAGAGUGCGGAAGGGGCAACUGGAAUUCUUGGUGUAGCGGUGAAAUGCGUAGAUAUCAAGAGGAACACCUGCGGCGAAGGCGGCGCUCUGGGCCGGAACUGACGCUGAGGAGCGAAAGCGUGGGGAGCAAACAGG
rnacentral:rRNA from 1 species